UUUACUGCUACACUUUAAGUUCCCAGCACUAGUUAAGAGCUCAAUAAAUGCUUGUUGACCGCAUGGAUGUUUGCUUGUUAUUUUAAAAAUGAGGAUAAUUUUCCAAAAGUUUAGAUACUUUUGAGAAGUCAAAGGUAUCUAUUUAGCAACAAGGAACUUUGUAGGGUGACUUUGCAGGGCAUCCUCUGUGGGAAUAAAUGGGAGGUGAGGAUAGGAAUUCAUGAAGGUAGUUGCAACUCCCUCAACUAAGCUGGAUCAUGAAGGGAAGCAGAGGAUGGGGCAAUAGCUGGAGUUUUCCAUGAACUCAGCUGACACUUGGGCAUGUCAGAUGUUGCUGGGAAGGAGGCAGCAGAAGGUGUAAGAAGAAGGAGGAGGAGUUAACUGAUGGAAUCAGGAACUGAGGGCGAUUUUGGGAGGAAUCCAGGGCAAAGGUGAGGAGAUCAGGCACAGAGCAGGGAUCCCUUCUCACUGGAACAAAGGAAGGAGGGAAGGAGAGCAUAGAUUCUGGUGGGUUUGCAGGGUCAGUGGCAGGAGCUUGAAGCAAUUCCUAUUUGUGGCUUUGAUUUUCUUUUGAAGAGGGAGGUAAAGUGGCCAUUCAUAAAUGGGGGGUGGAGGGGGUGAUGCUUGGGGUUGGAGAUAUGAGGACAGUGGAGAAGAUUAUAAAGAAAUCAGUUUAUCUAAGGUCUUUGAAAUCUUCCUAGAUAAACCUUUCUUCCAGAUGAAAGUCAUUAAUUAAUUAAUUUACAGUGCAAGGUCUAUUUUCCCCCUAAAACGUUACCUACAAUUUCACAUUUAGAUGUAAAUCUAAGAUCUAAAGCUGAGACCCAUGCGAUCUCAAGAGGGAAGGUAUGAGUUGGAGGGAAAAAGGCAGAGUCUAAUCUCCUCAAGGAAUACAGAAUCACAAGGAAGCUUUCACUAUGGGAAGCUGCAAAAAUGCUGACAGAUCACAGUGAGAUGGGACUGUGCUGUGAGACAGUAAUUUGCUUAGUGUCCACCUGGGCUGCUGUUCUAACACCAGAGAAAUGUGAAAACUCAGGACUGGAGGGCUGCUUGCCUGACCCCAUAGCACAUGUCUCAGCUCUAUUAACAGCAUCACUAAAAGGCACUUACUAUUUCUGCUUAAAUAGAAUGAAGUAUUAUUAUUGACAAACAUGAUGUUGUUGAUCCAAGAGUGGGGUGUACAUUUGUAACUUGGAGAGAUUUUGCAUACUUACUCUUCUUAUUGGUAACACAGGUACACACUUGCAAGAAGGCUGUUAAGGAUAGUGAUAGAACUUUCUUUUUAUUGAAGAUCAACUAUUUAUGUUUAUAAAUGGGAAAAGUUGGUUAUGAUCUCCAUGACCACUGAAACCAUAAUUUUGACCUUAUGGCUAUUAUGUUAUGACCUAGAAGUUGCCAAAUGAGCUUGGUGUAGCCCUGGUGUAGAGAGGUCCCCUUAAAUGAUGAGAGGGAGGUGGAGCCAACAGGGACCAGGCCAUCUCCAUGUCAGUUACUGCAGCCUUUAGGGUUUAUGGUGACUUCUAAUUUUUAGAUAAAGGGUCCCAUUGUGCUGAACAAGUUGGCAAUACCUACUUUCAUGCCUGAGAGCAAAUAUUGAUAGAAUACAUAUGUUAGUAAUUUUCUAAAUGGUUUCUUGAAUUGAAGAAUAUAUUUAGAGUGUUUCUUUAACUGAAGAGUGCAGCAACAGAAUGACAAUGGAAGAGUGCCUCACAUCAUAGGUCUGGGUUAGUCGACGGGUAUUUCAGUGACUACUAAAUCUGCCUAAGUAACAGUUCACCUACCACCAAGUUGAGUGUUUUGACUUUUGAACAAGGUCUAUCCAAACUAUGGAUGAGCAGAAGAACAUAGAUUGGAUUUUGGAGCAGUUGAACCAUCCUAAAGGUCAUAGCUUGAGGUUGGAAGCUUUGGGGAGCCAGUAGUGAUAUCUGGAGAAGCUCCUCUCUGGAACCCAAAGGCUAUAUGUAUUUUUUAGAGACAGAAAGAUGGACAAUCUCAUGCAAUUAGGGUCAAGAAAGAAGAUGGAUUCUUGGGAAUGUCUGGGUCCAUGUUUGAGAAGGUGGCUGAUGGCAGUUGAAGAAUUUUAUGUGUUGAGUUAAUGACAGAUGUUCCUGAUAAAAACAGGAAGUUACUGACUUUAGCAUUAGCCAAAGCAGCCCUCCCUGAAGAAAGUAAGAGCUCCUGGGGCCAUUACUUUGUUAAUGAAGCCACAUCAGGGCCAAUAUAAGAGGCAGAUGUUUUAUCACAUACUGAAAAUAUUCCCUUGGCCCAGGUGGUGGUCCUUGUGCAGUCCCAUGCUGAGCUCUAGGCAAAUCUAUUUGAUUAAUGAUGAAGUGGAGAUAUCCCUAUGGUGUCUACCAUCAAUGAAGGUGGGGCAGUCUGUCAUUCAGAGGGUGUGGGAUUCAAUAGACAUUUUGGCAAUUUUUUAUAGUUAAGUCAUGUUUGCAUGCAGAACAGAGGUAGUUUUUCCUGACCUGUCAUAGGUCCCUCCACCUAGGUGGCAGCCCAGGCACAAGGAAUUCACUUUUAGGCAUGCCUCUUCCAUAGCAAGGAAGAGGGGAUGGGCACAGUGAAGCAGAGUGCCCUCGUCUUCAUGAGGAAUGUGCCAAGGCAGCCAGCUUGGCUCCCAGGGCCUCUCAGUGAUGGGAGUUAACUUAGUGAUCUUGCUGGAUUUGGCUUAUUUCUGAGCUCUCUGAAGUACACUCAUCUUUGGCUUUGCCAUCUGCAAUUUCUGUCUCCGGAAGGGAACAUCUCUCUUCUCUCCAGGAAGAAAUCUUGAUGCAUCAAAAAGAAAAAGCUUGGUGUCUUGGGCAUUUUUUUUCCCUGCAUAUGGUGAGCCAACAGAUUUUACAUAAUCUAUUUUCCCUAUAAUUCAUCCUCCAUUUCUUGAAUUCUCUGUGAACAUUCCCUUCUGCAGCUGACAGCUUCUGUUCUUUCUCUUCUGGUUUAUAAACUUUCUGAGUCAGACCCUUUAACAGAAUCUUAGUUUUUUGCUGAUGGAGAUCAUUAAGGAUCUUUACUGCCAGCUGCAAGAUUUUGCAUUUAUUUUCAACUAGAGAUUUUGCUGCAAGCAGUGAAAAAAAAGGGGGAAUCAUUUUCCAACUUUUUUCUUCCAGCUGAUGCCUUGCUGACACCUCAUUAUUUGGCUUGGAAUGUAAAUAGUUUCUGUUUUCUUCAACUCUUGUUAAUGUGGAUUUUGGUACCCAACUUUUCUGAUUUUUCAUCUUCUUACUGUGGUAAUCUUCCAACCUAAUCUUUACUUUUAAAAUGAUCCUGCUCAUUUCCUUCCCUGUGAUUUUUCUCCUCUGAUGCAAAGAUCAUGAUUAAGUUGUUUCAGCUGCAGAGCAUAUUCAUGGAGAACUUCAACUCCAUUAUUUUUCUAUGUCACAGUUCUUCCUGAGACUUGAUAUCUUAUCUGGUUUGCUCACUGAUCCCAGUGGGCAGGGCUGGGAGGGCAGAAGGGGACCAUAGCCUUCUCUAUACUCUGCCCCCCCUCCAACUCUCACCUCUUACUCUUCUCCUAGCUCCUGUCUUCCUCCUAUCUCUUUCCCUCACUCGUCUGUUUUCCUACAGCUUAAAUUCACAGAAGAUCUUGGUAUUUAGAUCUCUAGCAGAGCUGCUAACAACUUUAUGCACUUUUAUUGCUCUGGGUUUCACACUGUCUUCACUAUCUUCUCCAGAUCUUGUUCCCAGCUGCCAACUCAGAUUAUGCCCAAACCAGAAUCACUUUGAUUCAUGCAGGUCUCCACUGUCAUGUGACCAAGAAUGACCCUAAGAGGGGUGCUGACCAACAUCCAGGUGCAUUCUGGCUCCAGGUCUCUCCAAUCCCAAUUUUCUUCACUUCCCCAAAUGGCCUGGUGCAGAUCUGCUGUGCAGAUCUGCUCUCUGGACUGUGCAUGGCUAUAUCAUUGUAGAAUCUACUUCAUUAACUUGCUUUCACCUACAGUUUUAAUUUGCUGCUACUUGCAUUACCUUAAGUCUCCAAAAGUGCUCAAAUACUAGUUCUCAGGUGAUACCUUCCCUUUUCUUCUAGUGUAUGUGAGCUCUUGAGAUCCUAAUAGGAGAAUCUGUGGAGUCCAAAGGAAGAGACUUAGGAGCAUUUAGCACCAGACAUGUGUUUGUGUGGGUGGGUGGGGGGUUCUUCCCUUUAUGUGGCGUCUUUCCUUCUGCUGCAUCAUGUGCUCUGGGAGAGGUUAUUCCUUCUUCCAUCCCCUGAUUCCCUGUCUUCCUCGUGAGCAAAAUCAUAUGCAGAUGAGAGGUACAGGGCUCCUGGCAGGGGUAAACCCUGCGGUACUCCUUGCCCAAACAGAAUAAGGUUUGGUUGGCAUGACAUUCCAAUUUUUUCUCUCUUUCAACUUGUGAAACUCAAGUUGCUGUGAACAUGAAAAUGCUUUAGUGUACAUAUAUCACCCAACAGGACUUCAUAAAUCCACUUCUUAAGGCAGCUCUGUUUUCUGAACACUUCUAACCCCUCCCAGGAUAUAACUGAAUUAAAACAAUGUUAUAUAGUGGCUUUCUCAUACAAGGAAUGCAUUAUGCCAAUGAACUUGUUUAACCCAGGGUAAAAAUCAGGCAUGUAUAUGUGUGUGUGUGUGUGUGUGUGUGUGUGCGCGCGCGCGUGCGUGCGCACGCACAGGUGUGUUUUCUUUCUUAAUAGAUAAAUCAUUUGGUCUCAAAAUCUGAGCCCCCAUUUAAAAUUUUUAGGAGAUUACCUUUGCUCUCCACCGAUUUUUUUUUUAGGAGCAUUCCUUCCCCAUGGAACCCUGGUGCACUAAACACUUUUAUAGUGAUAUCUAAAAGAUCAAAACAAAAGAGUCUGUCCUCAAGUUCAUGGACAAGUCUGCUCAUCACUAGAGUCACUGGCUAAGAAAGUCAAUAUUUUCUGAAUUAAUAAAUAAUCAAGUUAUAUUAAAGAAAAAUUAUUUAGAGAUAUACUGAGUAUUAUGUAAUUAAAGACUCAGAAAUGAAAAUCCCAGCCAUCAGGCAGAGAGCCCAAACAACAGCAUAAGAUGCUCAAGCUCACACAACUACUCCAGAGGCUAGCUGAGCACAACUAAAAGAAUGCAACCAUCUCCUCCGUCCAUAUGGGGCUGGAUGCCUAGACACACAGCUGUAUUUAGUGUAGCCUAAACUAAAUGUUGGCGAGUGCUCCCUUUAUUGGCUGAUGGUCUUGCAGGUGGGAGGGUGUGGGCAUGGGUCUGGGCCAAGGGCAUGGGAUCAGGGCAGCUCUCACACUCUCAGCAGAAGUGGAAGUGUCCAUGGCAGCUAUCACUUUACCAUUGUUAGGAGAGCUGGUUCUGAAUGAAGGAUAUGAAAAUCCCUGUGGUCAGACCCCUGUUUGAGUGUUACUGGUUAUGGGAACUUGAAUAAAAUGAAGCUCUUUAGGCUUCAUUUUUAUAGGUGAGGACAAUUAAAUAGCUAAUGAGCAUAGAGCUGGCACAUAGAAAGCACUCAGUAAAAUGGAAAUAUGAUGCUCAUUCUCAUAUGCACAGUUCUCGUCACCAUUUGUAUUUACCUCUUGCACUUAUUUGUAUACUUUCCACUUGUUUCCACCACUAGAAUGCAAGAUUGAGGACCAUGGUUUCACAUCCCUGUGUUGUCUCUUGUCCCCCUUGAUUAUAUGAUCUGGACAAAUGUCAUUUUCUAGGUUUAUGGGAACAGCUUUGAAAACAUGGUCUUGAAUCCCCUUCUGACCCCUUUUUAAACAUCCAUAUCCACCAUGCUAUUGACUUUGCAGAGUAUGGAUUUGGUAUACUUGCCACUCUGCUACGAUGAACAGUCUUUACCUAGAGAUGUGCCAUCUUUGCAAUUCCUUUUUGAAAGAUGAUAAUAAUAGAGUUCCCUCAGUGGUUAAUGAACCCAACUAGCAACCAUGAGGACGUGGGUUCAAUCCCUGGCCUCUCUAAGUGGGUUAAGGAUCCGGCAUUGCUGUGAGCUGUGGUGUAGGUCGCAGACGCGGCUCAGAUUCCUCAUUGCUGUGGCUGUGCUGUAAGCUGGCAGCUACAGCUCUGAUUGGACCCCUAGCCUGGGAACUGCUAUAUGCUGCAGGUGCAGCCCUAAAAAGACAAA
rnacentral:lncRNA from 1 species